rnacentral:rRNA from 1 species
ACGGCCUACCAAGGCGACGAUCAUAGCCGGCCUGAGAGGGUGAACGGCCACAUUGGGACUGAGACACGGCCCAAACUCCUACGGGAGGCAGCAUG